GACGAACGCUGGCGGCGUGCUUAACACAUGCAAGUCGAACGGAAAGGCCCUGCUUUUGUGGGGUGCUCGAGUGGCGAACGGGUGAGUAACACGUGAGUAACCUGCCCUUGACUUUGGGAUAACUUCAGGAAACUGGGGCUAAUACCGGAUAGGAGCUCCUGCUGCAUGGUGGGGGUUGGAAAGUUUCGGCGGUUGGGGAUGGACUCGCGGCUUAUCAGCUUGUUGGUGGGGUAGUGGCUUACCAAGGCUUUGGCGGGUAGCCGGCCUGGGAGGGUGACCGGCCACAUUGGGACUGAGAGACGGCCCAGAGUCGUACGGGAGACAGCGGUGGGGAAUAUGGUACAAUGGUCGGAAGCUUGAUGCAGCAACGCCGGGUGCGGGAUGACGGCCUUCGGGUUAUGAACAGCUGUCGCCUGUGACGAAGCGUGAGUGACGGUAAUGGGAAAAGAAGCACCGGCUAACUACGUG
rnacentral:rRNA from 1 species